UACGUAGGGUGCAGGCGUUAAUCGGAAUUACUGGGCGUAAAGCGUGCGCAGGCGGUUUGCUAAGACAGGUGUGAAAUCCCCCGGGCUUAACCUGGGAACUGCGCUUGUAACUGGCAAGCUAGAGUGUGGCAGAGGGGGGGUGGAAUUCCACGUGUAGCAGUGAAAUGCGUUAGAGAUGUGGAGGAACACCGAUGGCGAAGGCAGCCCCCUGGGCUAACACUGACGCUCAUGCACGAAAGCGUGGGGAGCAAAAGGG
rnacentral:rRNA from 1 species